AAACACAUUAUCUGUUGUUGUUGGCACAGUAAAGUGAAUAUAUGGUUUCUUUUAAAUAAUUAAAUUCAUGAAGAUGCAUGCUCUGUGAGGUCCCCGAAGUGAAGUAUAAAGGCCUGCUUUCCACACAGGAAAACGUAUAUGUGAGUUGGACAUAACCAGCAGCUCAACAGGGCAGAUGUGACAAAUUUCUUUCCCUCUAAUCUGCUGACCCCUGGAGUUUAUUUUCCACCUCCCGACUUAAAUAUUUCUUACGUAAGAAAAACAUGAAAAUAUUGAUCCACACAGAAGCGAGAUUCAGUAAUAAAACGUAAUCUUUUAUGCUUUUACCCACAAAAUACAUGAAUCUUGUAACUGGAUAUUGUCUCUUUUUCAGCUGCUUGUACUUUUAGGUUAUUUGAUUCAAACCACAUGCUGCCAGGUAAAGUAUCAGAGAGACACAGAGAAAACAUGUCAAUAUGGUUCAGCCUUGCUUGCUUUUUCUGGUUUUUAAUAAAGAUUUUGGGGCAUAAUUUUUGUUUUUUGUUGAUAUUUGCUUUUUCUUUUUUUCUUUGACAACAGAGAGCUGACUAGAAUUGGGAGAAAAAAAAUAAUAUAAGGUUUUUUUUAUAUACGUUUAUUUUUACUUUUUGUUUUUUCAGAUAUAAUGGCAUUAAUGCUACUGAUGCUAUUUCAACCCUCACUGAUUAGAGCUGCUCAGAAAUUAUGUUAUUUGGAGUCUGGCAGACCGUUCCCUCAAAGUGCUAAAUUCCUGAAGCUGUGCAAGGCCAAAAGUUUAAUAGGAUACGUGCUGUUUUGAAAUAAAUGUAUGGUUUCUUUGUGUUGCUGUCAGAUUAUUAGAAAGUAUUACAUAUGGUUAAAUCUAACUCUAAUGCUAUUAUCAUGGUUCUUAAAAUUUGACUAACUGAUUGGUGUUCCGACUGGCUGAGCAAUCUGCUUUAAAUGACACAAAAGACUGACAAGUGGAAAUGGUACGGUAGGUGAUCAUUCACAUCUAGUGGAAAUGUCAUUAUGGCAGUCACAGAAUUAAAGGGAAAAAAUAGAAAUUAGUAGAAAAAUUAUUCUUCCCUUUCUUCCCCUAGCUGUUAUAAUAAAAUUUACCAUCUAGAAUGCAUGAAAAAAAAAAAAGAUUUAAAAGGUUUAGUGGAGACUUAGCAGGAUUAAUGCUUUUAUGUUGCAACAUCAAACCACUCUGAAACCCUACAAAGCUAUGGCUAGGCUAAUAUAAAUAGGGUAAUAUGAAUUCAGGUGAUCCAGUAACUUCCGUGCCACAGCUGUAUAGAAUCAAGCACCUAGGCAUGCAGACUGCUUCUACAAACAUUUGUGAAAGAAUGGGUCACUCUCAGCAGCUCAGCGUAUUCUGGUAUGGUAUUGUGAUAGGAGGCUAUGUGUGCAACAAGUCCAGUCGUGAAAUUUCCUCACUACUAAAUAUUCCACAGUGAACUGUUAGUGGUAUCAUACCAAAGUGGAAGUGUUUGGGAACGAC
ensembl:lncRNA